GGGGCUGAUUUGAAUUUCGACAGGAUUUAGAUGGCUCUAGCUGCAUGCCAACUUGCACGAAGUUGUAAAACCCGUGCAUUAAAUAUAAACGCAAAUAACGCAAAUUACGCUCCAGCUUACGCUAAAGCUGCGUAAGUUUAUUUAACCUUUGGGGCUAUUUU
rnacentral:tmRNA from 1 species